AUGAAAUACCUGAUGUCAGUGCCAUCGGUGAGGAAGAGAAGAAACAAAAUAAAGGAGCUAUGGAGGGAGGAUGCAAUGAUGGUGCAGGAGGGACAAGACUUAACUAAUUAUGUGUGUUCAUUUUUUCAGGAUCUUUUUUGUUCCUCUAACCUCCAUCGUUUACCUGAACUGCUUGAUAAGGUUCAUCUGCGGGUUACAAAUGCUAUGAAUGACAUUCUGCUUGGUGAGUUCACUCGGGAGGAGGUCAAGGUGGUGCUAGACCAUAUCGGUGACUUGAAGGCUCCGGGAUCGGAUGGGAUGCCAUCAAUAGUGUUUAAAAGGCACUGGCAUUUCAUGGGAGAUCAAGUGGUGGAUGAAGUCUUGGCUAUGUUAAAUGGGAGCGACAUGCCAGAAUGA
rnacentral:rRNA from 1 species